rnacentral:lncRNA from 1 species
UUGGGCACCUCCAGACGACAUCGACGUCGGACUAGUCUUAAAGACAAAAGGAAUUUGGCGGACAACAACUUAAUACAACACGCAGAUGAGGUAACACAAAAUCUCAUAUUCAUUUCAUUCACAAAGUAUACACUACAAAGCCCGGCAGGCUAAAGAAAGAAGAGCAAAACGACAAAAGCAAGACAAAACAACAAAAGAGAAAAUGUAUGCAUGGAA